UCUCUGAGUCACAGCCUCAGCCUACCUGUGCCUCAGAGUCACUCUCCUGACAGGGCCUCACCCACCGGCAUGCAGCAUGCAGGGGACCUGCUCCCUGGCUGUUCUGGGAAAGGUCUCUCCCUCUGUCCUCUUCAUGGACAGAUCUGUGACCUUCACCUUAUCUGACAGACAAGAAGUUGUUGUGCUUUUAAUUUUAGAAAAUAGAACAGGAAAUUUAUUAUUGGAUUGGAGAGUUGGCUUAGUGGUUGAGGGUGUUUUGCUCUUCCAGUGGACUAGAAUUUGGUUCCCAGCACGAAUGACAAGUGGCUCACAACUGCCUGUAACUCCAGUUCCAGGAAACCCAUCAUCUCAUGUACCACCGCAUGGGCAGCUUAGCCAUGAGUGUAUAUGAACACACAUCUAUGCGUGUGCAGGCACACACACACACAUACACACACAUACACACACACGCAUGAACACACACGCACACACACGCACAGAUCUAGUAAUGAACAAUUCUAACUGCUGAGCCUUUGCCAGCCCCUGGCUGUCCUUUCUCCAAUCCUCCUUCUGUAAUACUCAUGUGUCUGGUUAAGGAAUGCUUUAGCUGUGGUUCUCAUAGAUGAAGAAAUGAACGGAGACCCACCACAGGAGGUCUGGUGAGAACAGGAUGGCUGUCAAGCCCUUCCAUUCCAGUCAAGAGUCCCUGCCAGGCCGGGGAAGGCACUCACACUAAGGAGGCUGUGAGGGACAAGGGUUCAGCACAUCCACAGCCAAUAUGUAGAUGGGUGAGGCUUCCUGGGACUCUGGGCUCCAGGGCACCUCACUUAUCUCUUCUGGCCUCCCUUACUGUUUGCACUCAUUGUGAAAAUACAAGGGAGCUGGUCCUGCUCGUGGGGGACUGAGCAGUUACAGGCAAGAUUCCAUUCCCCCCACCCCCAACCUCCAAACCUUGUGCCCUGCCAGGGUUCCCCCAGGAAGGGUCACCUUCACCUGAGCCCUUCUUCCUUUUGAGCCAGCUGCUGGCCCAAUCUGGCUAGGUACAGAGACCUACAUGCUCUCUCAGCCUGCCCUUCCCCUGUCCUCUUAUUUACUGGGCCCAGUGUUAGGAUCAGGGGUAGGAACUUGGCCUGGUCUUGUUUGUUGGUCCCAGUAAGCAGGCCUUUGAAGGUGGGGACGCAGUGCUGCCUGCCUGACUGUUGGAAGCAGAGGUUUCAGAUGCCAGGCAAGAUCUUGGGCAUUUAGCACAGUGUAAACAUUCCUAAUGUUUGCUCCAAGUUUGGCAAAUAUUUCCAGAGCAUCUGUCGAGGGCAGGCAAAGUGCCAGGGCCAGUGAUGAAUAAAAUGUCGACCCCCCAUCUCUGAGAGUGCUCCAUCCUGUACAGCAGACAGAUACAAGCACAGUGAGCCCUGUGGGCAGAAACUGACCAAGCCAGGAACAGGUCCGAGUGGUGUGGGGAAAUAGAGUCCCCUGAUCAGAUCUGGCUGGUGCGAAGGGACCCAGGGCCCUGCCAGCUCGCUGCGUGCGUCCUUGCGCAUCAAUUUUACCAUCUGCCAAACACCAGGAGAGAGCACAUGAAAUAUAAAAUGAGUCGAGGCAUAAAAGUGUUCCGGAAUAAAAAUGGCGUGUGCCGGCGAGGGAUUACAGUCGCUACAAGGUCUGCGUAUGGACGCCAUCACUCACACCUGGGAGAGGGAACCCUGGGAGAGGGAAAGCGUGAGCUCCUUCUAGCAGGGAGCAGUGACACACCUCUUCACUUGGGAACAGGGUGGUCCUUGAGGACAGUAUGGUAAUUGGGAUGAGGCUGAAGGCCUCCCUGGAGCCAUCCACAACUCUAGGUGGAUGGCACAUGUCAGAAUAAAGGCACAGCUCAAGUAAA